rnacentral:rRNA from 1 species
GAAGUCGGUAGCUUAACCUUCGGGAGGGCGCUGACCACUUUGUGAUUCAUGACUGGGGUGAAGUCGUAACAAGGUAACCGUAGGGGAACCUGCGGUUGGAUCACCUCCUUA